rnacentral:rRNA from 1 species
UACGUAGGGGGCUAGCGUUGUCCGGAAUCAUUGGGCGUAAAGAGCGUGUAGGCGGCCAGGUAGGUCUGCUGUGAAAACUCGAGGCUUAACCUCGAGCUGUCGGCGGAAACCAUCUGGCUAGAGUCCGGAAGAGGAGAAUGGAAUUCCCGGUGUAGCGGUGAAAUGCGCAGAUAUCGGGAGGAACACCGAUGGCGAAGGCAGGUCUCUGGGCCACUACUGACGCUGGAGAAGCGAAAGCAUGGG